rnacentral:rRNA from 1 species
GAUGAACGCUGGCGGCGUGCCUAAUACAUGCAAGUCGAACGAGUUCUCGUUGAUGAUCGGUGCUUGCACCGAGAUUCAACAUGGAACGAGUGGCGGACGGGUGAGUAACACGUGGGUAACCUGCCCUUAAGUGGGGGAUAACAUUUGGAAACAGAUGCUAAUACCGCAUAGAUCCAAGAACCGCAUGGUUCUUGGCUGAAAGAUGGCGUAAGCUAUCGCUUUUGGAUGGACCCGCGGCGUAUUAGCUAGUUGGUGAGGUAAUGGCUCACCAAGGCGAUGAUACGUAGCCGAACUGAGAGGUUGAUCGGCCACAUUGGGACUGAGACACGGCCCAAACUCCUACGGGAGGCAGCAGUAGGGAAUCUUCCACAAUGGACGCAAGUCUGAUGGAGCAACGCCGCGUGAGUGAAGAAGGCUUUCGGGUCGUAAAACUCUGUUGUUGGAGAAGAAUGGUCGGCAGAGUAACUGUUGUCGGCGUGACGGUAUCCAACCAGAAAGCCACGGCUAACUACGUGCCAGCAGCCGCGGUAAUACGUAGGUGGCAAGCGUUAUCCGGAUUUAUUGGGCGUAAAGCGAGCGCAGGCGGUUUUUUAAGUCUGAUGUGAAAGCCCUCGGCUUAACCGAGGAAGCGCAUCGGAAACUGGGAAACUUGAGUGCAGAAGAGGACAGUGGAACUCCAUGUGUAGCGGUGAAAUGCGUAGAUAUAUGGAAGAACACCAGUGGCGAAGGCGGCUGUCUGGUCUGUAACUGACGCUGAGGCUCGAAAGCAUGGGUAGCGAGCAGGAUUAGAUACCCUGGUAGUCCAUGCCGUAAACGAUGAAUGCUAGGUGUUGGAGGGUUUCCGCCCUUCAGUGCCGCAGCUAACGCAUUAAGCAUUCCGCCUGGGGAGUACGACCACAAGGUUGAAACUCAAAGGAAUUGACGGGGGCCCGCACAAGCGGUGGAGCAUGUGGUUUAAUUCGAAGCAACGCGAAGAACCUUACCAGGUCUUGACAUCUUUUGAUCACCUGAGAGAUCAGGUUUCCCCUUCGGGGGCAAAAUGACAGGUGGUGCAUGGUUGUCGUCAGCUCGUGUCGUGAGAUGUUGGGUUAAGUCCCGCAACGAGCGCAACCCUUAUGACUAGUUGCCAGCAUUUAGUUGGGCACUCUAGUAAGACUGCCGGUGACAAACCGGAGGAAGGUGGGGAUGACGUCAAAUCAUCAUGCCCCUUAUGACCUGGGCUACACACGUGCUACAAUGGAUGGUACAACGAGUUGCGGGACCGCGAGGUCAAGCUAAUCUCUUAAAGCCAUUCUCAGUUCGGACUGUAGGCUGCAACUCGCCUACACGAAGUCGGAAUCGCUAGUAAUCGCGGAUCAGCACGCCGCGGUGAAUACGUUCCCGGGCCUUGUACACACCGCCCGUCACACCAUGAGAGUUUGUAACACCCGAAGCCGGUGGCGUAACCCUUUUAGGGAGCGAGCCGUCUAAGGUGGGACAAAUGAUUAGGGUG